GUGGGGAAUAUUCCGCAAUGGACGAAAGUCUGACGGAGCAACGCCGCGUGAGUGAUGAAGGUUUUCGGACUGUAAAGCUCUGUUGUUUAGGACGAAAGUGCCUGUUGCAAAUAGUUACAGGUAUUGACGGUACUGAACGAGGAAGCCACGGCUAACUACGUGCCAGCAGCCGCGGUAAUACGUAGGUGGCAAGCGUUGUCCGGAAUUAUUGGGCGUAAAGAGCAUGUAGGAGGGAAUCUAAGUCUGUUGUGAAAAUGCGGGGCUCAACCCCGUAUUGCGAUGGAAACUGGGUUUCUUGAGUGCAGGAGAGGAAAGGGGAAUUCCCAGUGUAGCGGUGAAAUGCGUAGAUAUUGGGAGGAACACCAGUGGCGAAGGCGCCUUUCUGGACUGUGUCUGACGCUGAGAUGCGAAAGCCAGGGUAGCGAACGGGAUUAGAUACCCCGGUAGUCC
rnacentral:rRNA from 1 species